rnacentral:lncRNA from 1 species
AAAUGCAUAGUGAAAAAUGAUAGAACAUGAGUUCGUGAAAUACAGAUUCCUACUGAGCACAACAAAUCUCUCCAUAGAAGCAAAGAAUUGGUUCUUUACAUUUCUAUAGAACAUAUUCCAUUAAAUUGUUAUCAAAUAACAUUAGUACAAAUUAAAAUCUAUCAAAUAUUGAAUAACAACAAGAAUUUAAAAGAAUUGAUUAAAUCAAUAAUUGAAUAACAGUGGAAUUUAAUAUCAAAUUUCUAAAUCUAAUACCCCAAGUCUCGUCCUACCGCCUACGUAUGUAUAGGAAAUGUAACCAUUCUGUUACUUUUGAAGAAGUACAUCUUAAUAUUA